UCGAUUAGAGUUUGAUCAUGGCUCAGGAUGAACGCUAGCGGCAGGCUUAAUACAUGCAAGUCGUGGGGCAGCGCAGUGUAGCAAUACAUGGGCGGCGACCGGCAAACGGGUGCGGAACACGUACACAACCUUCCUUUUAGUGGAGCAUAGCCUAAGGAAACUUGGAUUAAUACUCCGUAACAUAAUGAAGUGGCAUCACUUUAUUAUUAUAGCAGCAAUGCGCUAGAAGACGGGUGUGCGGCUGAUUAGGUAGUUGGCGGGGUAACGGCCCACCAAGCCUACGAUCAGUAACUGGUGUGAGAGCACGACCAGUCACACGGGCACUGAGACACGGGCCCGACUCCUACGGGAGGCAGCAGUAAGGAAUAUUGGUCAAUGGACGAAAGUCUGAACCAGCCAUGCCGCGUGGAGGAUGAAGGCCCUCUGGGUUGUAAACUUCUUUUAUAUGGGACGAAAAAGGGACUUUCUAGUUCAACUGACGGUACCAUAGGAAUAAGCACCGGCUAACUCCGUGCCAGCAGCCGCGGUAAUACGGAGGGUGCAAGCGUUAUCCGGAUUCACUGGGUUUAAAGGGAGCGUAGGUGGGUUGAUAAGUCAGUGGUGAAAUCUUCGAGCUUAACUCGGAAACUGCCAUUGAUACUAUCAGUCUUGAAUAUUGUGGAGGUUAGCGGAAUAUGUCAUGUAGCGGUGAAAUGCUUAGAUAUGACAUAGAACACCAAUUGCGAAGGCAGCUGGCUACACAUAUAUUGACACUGAGGCUCGAAAGCGUGGGGAUCAAACAGGAUUAGAUACCCUGGUAGUCCACGCCCUAAACUAUGGAUACUCGACAUACGCGAUACACUGUGUGUGUCUGAGCGAAAGCA
rnacentral:rRNA from 1 species